GAGAGGGAACGGAGGAGACAAGAGAGAGACACAUUUUUGCACUUUUCUCUUGGUCCAUCCAUACAAAAUAACCAGGUUAGGAUAUGGCCAGUGCAGUGCAGUAUGCCGUUCUGCUGAUGAGUCUUACUCUGGCCGUGCAUAAUUGUGGAGGAAUAUCACAGAAAACCAGGUGUGUUUCGCAACCAACAUGUUUCGACUUGCUCACUUUCGAGAAAAUAGUCCAGCGCAUCAGGAAAGACACACCAGCUGCAGAUUAAGAGAACAUCCUACUGAAGAGCAGAACAUUUGACAAAAUUCGCAAACAGAAGUAUCUUCAUAGCUGUGUCUUAAGGAAAAUCAUUGACUUCUAUGAGAAUGUUCUCAAUCAGACACAAGACAACUCCAAUGACCAUUAUUACAUUAGUCCACAAGGUGUGGACUUCCAUCUUCAGCUCAUCUCCAUCAUGAACAAACUGAGAAACUGCACAUAUAAGAUGAACAGAAGAUGCGAGACGUUGUAUCAAAAGGCUGCACAGCAACCUAAAUUGGAGGAAGCAGAUAUGACUCCAGAUGAGGUGGCUAUCCAUCAGCUACAAAAACUUAACGUGGCAAGAGAAAGAAUGAAUGACCCGAGCAU
rnacentral:lncRNA from 1 species